rnacentral:rRNA from 1 species
GACGGAGGAUGCAAGCGUUAUCCGGAAUUAUUGGGCGUAAAGCGUCCGUAGGUGGUUACAAAAGUCAGUUGUUAAAGCCCACAGCUCAACUGUGGAUCGGCAAUUGAAACUAUGUGACUUGAGUGUGGUAGGGGUAGAGGGAAUUCCUAGUGUAGCGGUGAAAUGCGUAGAUAUUAGGAAGAACACCAGUGGCGAAGGCGCUCUACUGGGCCAUAACUGACACUGAUGGACGAAAGCUAGGGGAGCGAAAGGG